CUCCGUGCCAGCAGCCGCGGUAAUACGGAGGAUGCGAGCGUUAUUCGGAAUCAUCGGGUCUAAAGGGUCUGUAGGCGGGCUAUUAAGUCAGGGGUGAAAGGUUUCAGCUUAACUGAGAAAUUGCCUUUGAUACUGGUAGUCUUGAAUAUCUGUGAAGUUCUUGGAAUGUGUAGUGUAGCGGUGAAAUGCUUAGAUAUUACACAGAACACCGAUUGCGGAGGCAGGGGACUAACAGACGAUUGACGCUGAGAGACGAAAGCGUGGGGAGCGAACAGGAUUAGAUACCCUGGUAGUCCACGCUGUAAACGAUGGAUACUAGCUGUUUGGAGUAAUUUGAGUGGCUAAGCGAAAGUGAUAAGUAUCCCACCUGGGGAGUACGCACGCAAGUGUGAAACUCAAAGGAAUUGACGGGGGCCCGCACAAG
rnacentral:rRNA from 1 species